rnacentral:rRNA from 1 species
GUGCCAGCAGCCGCGGUAAGACAGAGGGUGCAAGCGUUGUUCGGAAUCAUUGGGCGUAAAGGGCGCGUAGGCGGCUUGUUAAGUCGAAUGUGAAAACCUGGGGCUCAACCCCAGACGUGCAUCCGAAACUGGCAGGCUUGAGUCCCGGAGAGGGUGGUGGAAUUCCCAGUGUAGAGGUGAAAUUCGUAGAUAUUGGGAGGAACACCGGUGGCGAAGGCGACCACCUGGACGGUGACUGACGCUGAGGCGCGAAAGCGUGGGUAGCAAACAGGAUUAGAUACCCGCGUAGUCC